AUACGUAGGUGGCAAGCGUUGUCCGGAAUUAUUGGGCGUAAAGCGCGCGCAGGUGGUUCCUUAAGUCUGAUGUGAAAGCCCCCGGCUCAACCGGGGAGGGUCAUUGGAAACUGGGGAACUUGAGUGCAGAAGAGGAUAGUGGAAUUCCAAGUGUAGCGGUGAAAUGCGUAGAGAUUUGGAGGAACACCAGUGGCGAAGGCGACUGUCUGGUCUGUAACUGACACUGAGGCGCGAAAGCGUGGGGAGCAAACAGGAUUAGAUACCCUGGUAGUCCACGCCGUAAACGAUGAGUGCUAAGUGUUGGGGGGUUUCCGCCCCUCAGUGCUGCAGCUAACGCAUUAAGCACUCCGCCUGGGGAGUACGGUCGCAAGACUGAAACUCAAAUGAAUUGACGGGG
rnacentral:rRNA from 1 species